AACAAUGUUUAUCAUACAUGGACACUGAUCAAUUUUUGAAACAAAAGUGGAAAGUUAAACCAGAGAUGAACAAUUAUGAGCUUAGCAUGAUAAUCCAAAUGAGUCGAAAGAAACAACCAUGACUUCAAAUGAUAAGAGAACCAUUCAGAAGCAUAUUAUCAAAACUUAAAACAAAAAGCAUGUGAUGGCAACAAAGUAACUAAUUAGAAAUUUUAAAGAUGAGCAAAUGGACAUUCAUGUAUUAACACAAACGAGAACAAAGAAAAAAAGUAAUCAAAUGAAUACAUGGUACUUCGCUUAAUCACUGCAACCCUAGAAAUUUGGCCCUUCAAGUCCCAUGAUCUUUGACCAUUUUUAGGGGGGUUGUUGGCCUUAUGAGACCCUUGUACCAUCAUUUGAGAAGGUGGUAGAGUAUCAAGUGUAGGGUGGUCAGUUUGGGGUGGGUCUGUGUUUCAGAUUGUUUCUCGAUCUAAUUGUUGGCCAUAUUUUUGUUAUAUUUAAAGGCUAUUGGUUGUGGAUUUGUGGAGGGGAAGGUGGGGAGGUCACCUGGGUUCCGGGGAGGUUGGGUCUUUGGUUAGAGCUUCGAUCUAAUAUUCGAAGCGAUGAGUAGGGGGUUGGAGGAAUACAACCAUGGAUUCGUUAUGGGGAUGAGGUGAGAAGUAUUUGUUGUUAUUUUGGGAGGGUUCCGGCGACGACGCCACCGUGAACGGCGGAGGCGGCAUCCAAAGAUUCGAAUAUUCGAGGUGAUUGGCUUGUAUUUGAGGCAUGAUUUUUAGAGCAUUGGAAAAAGGAGGAUACGGGGAGAAAGGGGUGUAUUUUUGGACGUGAUCUGAGCUUUGCCGCCGACGAAGACGAUUUUCGGCCGACGGUUAUACGGUGGGUUUGUGGUGGCUGAUAGGCAGUGUUACACCGGUGAGGGUUUGUACGAGGAUGUAGACUUUUGUCUUUGAGUGUAUUACACACGUUUGGACAUAUAUAUUGGUUUUGGGGGGAAGUUUUAGGACCGUUGAAUCAUCGUUGAUGAAUGGCUG
rnacentral:lncRNA from 1 species